rnacentral:rRNA from 1 species
GAUGAACGCUGGCGGCGUGCCUAAUACAUGCAAGUCGAGCGAACGGACGAGAAGCUUGCUUCUCUGAUGUUAGCGGCGGACGGGAGAGUAACACGUGGAUAACCUACCGAUAAGACUGGGAUAACUUCGGGAAACCGGAUCUAAUCCCGGAUGAUAAUUUGAUCCGCAUGGUUCAAAAGAGAAAUACAGUCUUGUUGUCACUUAUAGAUGGAUCCGCGCUGCAUCAGCUAGUUGGUAAGGUAGCGGCUUACCAAGGCAACGAUGAAUAGCCGACCUGGGAGGGUGACCGGCCACACUGGAACGGAGAACCGGUCCAGACUCCUCCGGGAGGAAGCAGAAGGGAAUCUUGCGCAAUGGGGGAAAGCCUGACGGAGAAAGGCGGGUGGAGUGAUGAAGGUCUUGGGUCGUUAAAACUCUGUUAUUAGGGAAGAACAUAUGUGUAAGUAAAUGUGCACACCUUGACGGUACCUAACCAGAAAGCCACGGCUAACUACGUG